rnacentral:rRNA from 1 species
UACGUAGGUGGCUAGCGUUGUCCGGAUUUACUGGGCGUAAAGGGCUUGUAGGCGGUUCGUUAAGUCCGGUGUGAAAUCUCCCGGCUCAACCGGGAGCGGCCAUCGGAUACUGGCGAGCUAGAGGUGGGCAGAGGAAGGCGGAAUUCCCGGUGUAGCGGUGAAAUGCGUAGAUAUCUGGAGGAACACCGGUGGCGAAGGCGGCAUCCUGGACCGACACUGACGCUGAGGAGCGAAAGCCAGGGGAGCAAACGGG